rnacentral:misc_RNA from 1 species
GAUGAAGAACGUAGUGAAAUGCGAUAGGUAAUGUGAAUUGCAGAAUUCAGUGAAUCAUCGAAUCUUUGAACGCACAUUGCGCCCUUUGGUAUUCCUUAGGGCAUGCCUGUUCGAGCGUCACUACACACCUUAUCACAAUAUUUGUGGUCUUGGCAGGAGUAAAUUGCUGGUCUAUGGAAGUAUUCCAGCAGUACACAAUGCUAAAAAAUAUGGGAAGGUUACCAGAUAUGAACAACAGACUUUGUAAAUGGUUGUAGGACCUAGAUCAGUCACAAGUCAUGUCUGGUCCCUUACCUUAAGGACCCCCAUCCUAGAUGAACUAUGGGUUGACCUCGGAUCAGGUAGGAAUACCCGCUGAACUUAAGCAUAUCAAUAAGCGGAGGA